UAUGUGGGCUUCAUCUCGUUGCAUUAGCAACGGUCUGGACUCACAUAAGCAUGUGGAACUUCUUAGAGGGACUGGUAAUCUGAUUAAAAGUACACGAGGAAGAGCAAUAACAGGUCUGUGAUGCCCUAAGAUGUCCGGGGCCGCACGCGUGCUACAAUGACGAUGCAAGUGAGCAUGAUUCGCCUGUUCCGCAAGGCUCGGGUAAACUGUUCAAUCAUCGUCAUGACUGGGAUUGGGGUUUGUAAUUAUCCCCCAUGAACGAGGAAUUCCUAGUAAGCACAAGUCAUAAGCUUGUGCUGACUACGUCCCUGCCCUUUGUACACACCGCCCGUCGCUACUACCGAUUGAAUGGUUUAGCAAGGUCAUUGGAUUGGCUUAUCGUGGCUUACGCUGCUUUGGACUGAGAAGAUGACCGAACUUGAUCAUUUAGAGGAAGUAAAAGUCGUAACAAGGUUUCCGUAGGUGAACCUGCGGAAGGAUCAUUAUCUAUUGUUCCACAACAACUGUGCUCUUGGGCCAUUUAGCCCAUAGCCGACGAUCUACGAGCUCGCUCAGGAUCGGAUUGUACGGUGCAGAAGUGCAACCUUCCACACGCCCUUGGUAGUGGAUAUGGUUGCGCAAUUGUUGACGGAGGCCAGGCUCUGAAUGGCGAUGCUCCAGUAGCAGGGUGCAUCAUCACCUUUCAGAACCGACUGUAUUUUGCCCGCAUGCCUCUGGUCAACCUGCUACAGGUGUGUACUUUUCACUUUGAUCAUUCGGAAUUAAAACUUGCCACGUGCACUGACUGCACUGGCAAUACCCAAAAUGACCGACCAGGCCUAGCUGAGUCGGUGAUCGCGGGAUCAGUGAUCACUAUGGUGUCAUGAAAACAU
rnacentral:sRNA from 1 species